AACUUCUCCAUCGAUGGUUUGACAUUGUCAAUGUCAAGUCAGUUUAUAUGCACAUCAGGAAAAAUGACCCAACCCAUAUGCCUAUCACAAAGGAUGACAAGCUGCAGGUCCAACCAACCUGGGACCACAAAUCACCACAUGAGUGUCACUCCAGUGACCCUCAUAGGCAAACAGUCACCACUCUCCACCUAAUUACAAGUUUUGUAAAUUGUAGACGAAUAAAAUGAGUUACAGAGGUA